AUCAGUGGUUGGUUCCACUGAGAUACAGACACUCAUCUCCAGACUCUACAUAGCACAGUUUGCUUUCCCCUUUUGAAAGUCAUGGCCUCCCUCUCUCUGGGACUGCUGUUUCUCUGUAUGCUGGCUGGCGUCCAUGGUGCAAACGUCAGAGUGUCCGGCCUUCAUGCCAGCGGCCUUAAAGGGGACCCUGCUGGUAAUUACCCUGACCCCUAUGUCAAGGUUUGGUGUGGUGGCGAAUCCGGUGGCAUGACAGACUGGCACAAGGAUACUCGUAAUCCAUCCUGGAGUGCCGUAUUCAACUUUCUGAAUGUGCCAUCCAGUGCUUCCUUGAAGUUUGAGAUCUGGGACAAGGACCUAAACUUCGAUGACCACCUGGGAACCUGCACCACUGAGCUCAAGUCUGGCAGUCACAGCGUAACCUGCGGUCUGAGUAGUGGAACCUUCUACUACACUUACAGUUACCAGUAAGCCAGCCAUAAUGUAAAACAUCAGUUACCAGUAAGCCAGCCAUAAUGUAAAACAUCAGUUACCAGUAAGCCAGCCAUAAUGUAAAACAUUCGGCCAUCACAUACCUUAAUGAAAUUCUAAUGAAUUUUACUGAUGAACAUUAAGGCCUAAAUAAAAACUUGCAUUUCUGCACAAUGGU